UGGAAAAGCGGAAUAUUUGGUUUGUGAUCUAGUAUAUAGACAAUAAAACAACGAAAAACAAGUUCUGUAAAGGUUACGGUCAGUAACGGUGUCUCAAAAUGUUAGAAAAACAUAGAUUUACCCGACGUAAAUAACAACGGCAACAUUUAAUGCGAAUUUGACAUGCCUUUGGCAGUUAUAUAUUUACAUGAGGAUGACGUAUAGGAGCAACAAAGUGCUGCCAAAGGAGUCAUCCGUUUUAGAUUUGGGUGGGGGAGAGGGGGGUUAACCAGGAGGGAAAGGUGCCCAGGCCUGUGAUUUGGAGCAAAAACAGCUCGGUGUUUGGGCAAAGGGGAAUAAAAAAAACCUUAUGUAAAGUCAGUUUUUGGGGAUAACUGCAUAAUUUAAAAGAUAUUUUCUGAGGGAAGGACCCUAUUAUGAGGAGAUAAAACCCUGUGAUAUGCUUAUGAAGACAUAUACAUAUAUAUUACAAGUUGCCUGAUUGGAGGUAUUUAUCUAUAUAUUCCAUUGCAUACAAAUCCUUUUCAGGGACCUCCCGUCCCUAGAUUUGCCGCCUAAUGCCACUCUUUGCCACUUCUUUCCAUGGUAAAAGGGUGGCACUUGGUGGAAAUAGCUGGCAUUAGCUGGCGUUUGGUGUACAAUUCAACUCUUUUUUCCAGCAAGUGGUAAAUUUGCCACUAAAAGCCACUUUAUUUUGGUGACAUUAGGUGUAAAUUUGAACAUAGUUUUUCUUUAUGGUGGCAGAAAGGUGGAAAUUGGUGGAAAGUAGAACAUAGUUUUUUUUCAUGGUGUAAACUGAGCGGCGUUUAGUGGAAAAUAGGGACUUAGAAAAUUUUCUUGGUGGCAAAUAGGUGAAAAAAAAACUUAGAAAUUUUUGUGAUGUUUGAUUUAGAAGCAAACUGUAAGACAUUGGAUUACCCUUGGCAAAAUCUUUACAUGGACUUGGGUUGGAAUCAAGGUGUAAUGGACACUAAAUGUCAAACUUCAGGCCUAACUGACACGGACCCUGACUUUGCUAAAACCCCACAUUGACAACAGCUCAUAGAACACAAAAAUGCCCCCCUUAAUGCAUUCAUUAACUGUACAAGAAACAGAAAUCAUCUGUUCACUGUGCACUGGACGUCUCAUGUACUGACCUCAAAUCAAUAAUUAUGGAUCAUUUACCAGUCAUAAGUGACUUCUGUAUCAAAUGUGAUCUUAGACCAAAGCAUUCUCUAGUUAUUGGGCAAAAAAAGUUCUAGUGUUCUGGGUCAAUGUGACCUAGACCUUUGAUCAACUGACCUCAAAAUCAAUAGGGGUCGUCUGCUGGUCAUGAUCAAUGUCCCUAUUUAUUUUCAUGAUCAUAGGUCUAAGAGUUCUCAAAUAAACAUCCGGAAACAGCUUAACUGUUUCAGCUCACUGUGACCUUGAGCUUUGACCUACUGAACUCAUAAUCUAUCUCAUAGGGGAUAUCUGCUAGUUUUGAUCAACCUUCCCAUUCACUUUCAUGAUCCUAAGCCCAAGAGCACUAGAGUUAAAAUCUGGAAACUGUUUAACUGUUCAAGGUCACUGUGACCUUGACCUUUGACCUACUGGCCUCCAAGUCAACAGGGGUUACUGCUGGUCAUGACGAACCUCCAUAUAAAGUUUCAUGAUCUUAGGCCCAAGUGUUCUUGAGUUACCAUCCGGAAACCGAUUGUUCUACAUACCAAACGACCAACAGACUGACAGACGGACUGACCGACAUCAGCAAAACAGUAUCACGUACCCAGGCUCCUUCAAAGGGUUUCGUUAAAAUGAGAAUAAGUCUACGCUGACUCCAGCUGGACAAAAAUAAUAUUCAGAGUGGUGUAUUAUACAGAAAAUUUGAAUUUUGGUUAUUUUGUGAGACAGAAUAUUUAUUAAUAUUAUAUUCAAUGUAAAUAUUAAUAAGUCACUUUUUCAAUCAACAAUUCUGAAAUACAGAAAAUGGUGGAAAAUAGGUGGCAACUAGUGGAAAUUGGCUGUACUGGCUGAAUCUGAAAAGAUCAUUUUCGAAUGUGUCUGCAGUGUAUUAUUUCUGCAUGAGUGAAAGUUGGUUAAAGAUAAGAUUAAUGAUAGAUCAAGUUACAAGCUCCCACACUAAUGUAUAGAAACAACCCCAGGUGGAAUUUGGGUCAGUUAAGAUAUAUACAUGCAGGCAAACAUCAGGUCAGAUGCAAAGAAAUAGUUCUUGCCUUUUCUCUUCAUUGAUUGAAAAAAAAAAGAAGUGUAUAUAAAAAGGAUGUUUUUACAAUAGUUUUCAACUUAAGUAUCUGACACCUUCUUUAGCUGACCAAAAAAGUGUAUGUGUGGAAUCAAUUUAUCUGUGUAGUAAUACCAAAAUUUGAAAUCUGGCAUUUGAUGAGUCAGUCAGGGAGAAAAUGGAAACACAUUGUGAGAGGAACCUUCUGUGAAAAAAUGCAACUUUGUGACAUGAUCUGCCUGCCUGGCUGUAUAAUUAUACCUGAGCAGCAUACAGCUUAUUACUGCAUAAAAGAAACAUAUCAAGAUAAUUCUGAAUCAGAUUGUGUGCUGGGAAAAUGGCCUUGCAUCCAAAGGAGUGAAAUUUGGAGAGUCAUUUGCCAUCAACUUAAGCCAUCCUGGAAUAUGAAAAAAUGAGAUUGCAUCGACAGCAUCCUGAUCCUCGUGUUCAGAUCUUUUGUGAUUUCUUGUGAAGGGUCUUUGAUUUUUGCAUUAAAAUAAAAAAACAUAUUAAUAUAAUUUGAUUUUUGCUUACUACUGAUUUUUUUUCAGAUUUAGCAGGUGCAGCCAA